AGAGUUUGAUCCUGGCUCAGGAUAAACGCUGGCGGCGUGCAUGAGACAUGCAAGUCGAACGGACGAUCAGGGCUUGCUCUGAUCGUUAGUGGCGGACGGCUGAGUAACGCGUAGGUGACCUGCCCCGAAGUGGGGAAUAACUGCCCGAAAGGGUGGCUAAUACCGCAUGUGGUGGUGCGUUCAAUCGCACCAGUAAAGCCGCAAGGCGCUUCGGGAGGGGCCUGCGUCCGAUUAGCUCGCUGGUGGGGUAACGGCUCACCAAGGCGACGAUCGGUAGGUGGUCUGAGAGGACGAUCACCCAGACUGGGACUGAGACACGGCCCAGACUCCUACGGGAGGCAGCAGUCGGGAAUUUUGCGCAAUGGACGAAAGUCUGACGCAGCAACGCCGCGUGAGGGAUGACGGCCUUCGGGUUGUAAACCUCUUUUAUCAGGGAAGAUAAUGACGGUACCUGAUGAAUAAGUCACGGCUAACUACGUGCCAGCAGCCGCGGUAAUACGUAGGUGACAAGCGUUGUCCGGAUUUACUGGGCGUAAAGAGCGCGCAGGCGGUCGUUCAAGUCGAGUGUGAAAGCCCCCGGCUCAACUGGGGAGGGUCAUUCGAUACUGAUCGACUCGAAGGCAGGAGAGGGAAGUGGAAUUCCCGGUGUAGUGGUGAAAUGCGUAGAUAUCGGGAGGAACACCAGUGGCGAAGGCGACUUCCUGGCCUGUUCUUGACGCUGAGGCGCGAAAGCUAGGGGAGCAAACGGGAUUAGAUACCCCGGUAGUCCUAGCCGUAAACGAUGGACACUAGGUGUUGGUGGUAUCAACCCCGCCAGUGCCGAAGCUAACGCAUUAAGUGUC
rnacentral:rRNA from 1 species